AGUGAACGCUGGCGGCAGGCCUAACACAUGCAAGUCGAACGGCAGCACAGUAAGAGCUUGCUCCUACGGGUGGCGAGUGGCGGACGGGUGAGGAAUACAUCGGAAUCUACUAUGUCGUGGGGGAUAACGUAGGGAAACUUAUGCUAAUACCGCAUAUGACCUACGGGUGAAAGCAGGGGAUCUUCGGACUUUGCGCGAUUGAAUGAGCCGAUGUCGGAUUAGCUAGUUGGCUGGGUAAAGGCCCACCAAGGCGACGAUCCGUAGCUGGUCUGAGAGGAUGAUCAGCCACACUGGAACUGAGACACGGUCCAGACUCCUACGGGAGGCAGCAGUGGGGAAUAUUGGGCAAUGGGCGAAAGCCUGAUCCAGCCAUGCCGCGUGAGUGAAGAAGGCCUUCGGAUUGUAAAGCCCUGUUGUUAGGAAAGAAAAGCAGCAGGUUAAUACCCCGCUGUUCUGACGGUACCCAAAGAAUAAGCACCGGCUAACUUCGUG
rnacentral:rRNA from 1 species